UUAAAUUGAAGAGUUUGAUCAUGGCUCAGAUUGAACGCUGGCGGCAGGCCUAACACAUGCAAGUCGAACGGUAACAGGAAGCAGCUUGCUGCUUCGCUGACGAGUGGCGGACGGGUGAGUAAUGUCUGGGAAACU
rnacentral:rRNA from 7 species